UACGGAGGGGGCUAGCGUUGUCCGGAAUUACUGGGCGUAAAGCGCGCGCAGGCGGCCAUUCAAGUCAGGGGUGAAAGCCCAGAGCUCAACUCUGGAACUGCCCUUGAAACUGUAUGGCUUGAGUAUGAGAGAGGUGAGUGGAAUUCCCAGUGUAGAGGUGAAAUUCGUAGAUAUUGGGAAGAACACCGGUGGCGAAGGCGGCUCACUGGCUCAUUACUGACGCUCAGGCGCGACAGCGUGGGGAUCAAACAGG
rnacentral:rRNA from 1 species